rnacentral:lncRNA from 1 species
UUUUUUUUUUUUUUUUUUUUUUUUUUUUUGCUUUUUAGGGCCGUACCCGCGGCAUGUGGAGAUUCCCAGGCUAUGGGUCAAAGUGGAGCUGUAGCUGCUGGCCUACACUACAGCCACAGCAACAGGGGAUCCGAGCCACAUCUACGACCUACACCGCAGCUUACAGCCAUGCGGGAUCCUUAACCCACUGAGCAAGGCCAGAGAUCGAACCUGAAACCUCAUGGUUCCUAGUCGGAUUGAUUUCCACUGCACCACAACGGGACCUCCAACAGCUGGUUUUGAUAAGGAUAUAUGAAGCUUGGUUGUUUGGAUAGGAUGAGAGAGGAAAAAAAUCUUCAAGAGAUCAAAGUUAAUAAAUGAAUGACUCCUUUCCCACUAGCAUUUGUCUAUUCAGUCAACAAUAUUUAUGACCACAUUUCAGGCAGUGGGCAUCAUCUGAAGCACUGGGGGUACAAAGAUGGAAAACCUUAGCGAAUGGCCUUACAAAAGGCAGGGUUCAGUAGAAAGGCAUCAAAUGGGCAGUGGCCACAGAGGAGAACGUGUAUUAACGGAGGCAUGGGCCGGGGGCAAGGGCAGCUCAGGGAAACGCAGCCCUGACUGCACCCACCUGGGAGGAGGUGGGAAAGCUUUGCAAGAGGAGGUGAAGUCUGACUUGAAGGAGGCCCAGCUUGAAGGGGCUGGUGGGAAUGCUUAGCAGGAGAGGACGAUGCUGGUAGGUUAUGGCUGGAAUCACCGAGGUACAGGAUGGGAGCACUCAGGGAGACGGCAGUUCUGAAGCACGAUUUCUGGAGUGAAGUAUCCGUGUGGGGCGAGGGGCAGGGUCUUGGCCAGGUCGGGCUGCCAUCACGAAAUACCAGUGACCCGGGGUGGGGGUGGGCCUCGAACAGCAGGCACUUCUCACAGUUCUGGAGGCCAGUGGGACAUCCGAAGAGGGUGCCAGCGGGGCAGGUUCUGGUGAGAGGCUUUGCAGGUGGGCUGUCUUCUUGCUGGCUGUGCAUGUUGGGUGGCACCAGGGGCAAGCCCUCUGCUGUCUCUUCUUAUAAGAACAAUAAUCCUAUAGCCCCCACUUCCAUCCUCCUUGAACUUGAACUCUCUCCCUUAGAUCCUAUCUCCAAAUACGGUGCCAGCUUUAACGUGGGACUUAGGAGACACAAUUCAGGGCACAGCAGACGCUGAGGAAGCUGGCUGGCGAUCCAAGAAGGGCCUCUUCAAUCAAGAGGAUUAGAUUUUUGUCUUGAAAGCUCCGUCUAGGAUUUCGCUGGGAGAUUUUCAGCAGAGUGGACAUACUGUGGUUCACAUUUUAGAAAGCUCACUCCGGCAGCACACGAGAGAAUGAUGCAGGGAAAGGGCCCUGCGAGGCAGGACGGGGCAGGGCCUGGAGGCGAGAGGUAUUCAGUGGAGUGGAGACAGGCCAGCUGUGACUGAGCAGAUCCGUGUGGAGCGGAGAAGAGGAAGGAGCCGGCCUCUAGCUGAUGUGUCCAGUAGAUGGUGGCAUCCUUUCCUGAGAGAGAACUCAGGAGGAAAACCAAAUUGUUUGCCGGGGGAUGGAGGAGAGGAAAUAAAAAAGGCUUCUCAGGUUUUAGAAGACGAAAUAUAAGCUUCAUAUGAUGUCCGUACACGUGGAACUGCUCACUGGAUAGUGUGUGUGUGGACCCACUAUGCGCCCGGAGGGGGAAUGAGACGAUGCAACUGAAGUUGAGUCAGUGGAUGCAGGUCCUGCUCUGGCUUCCUGUUUGCUCUGGGUGCCAAGGCCUGAGAUUCUAGUUCAUUCGAACUCUGUGUUAAACAAAACCAAGUGUCUCUCAGGACAAGGGUGGAUAUACACACACACAGAGGCAUGAAUGCAUGUGUUCCAAGAAUAUUUAAUGACAUAAAAACACAGUAAGAGGAAAAGCAAAACACAAAACCAUAGAGUAAGCUAAUUAUGUAAAAGUAUAUAUAUAUAUAUUUACAUAUAUAUACAUACACAUAUAUAUAUCUUUCACAGAAAUGUAAAAAACUGCUUCCUAGGUAGUAGUAUUAUGAAUAUGUAAUUUUUUCAUUAUGUUUUCCUAAUUUUCCUAUACAGAGCACAUACCUUUUUUUUCGGCCACACUCUCAGCAUUCAGAAGUUCCCAGGAUAGAACCCAAGCCACAGCAAUGACCUGUGCCACAGCAGGGACAAUGCUGGAUCCUAAACCCACUGCACCACACUGGGAACUCCCAUAUAUUGUUUUAAAAUCAGAAAUGAAGAUUUGUUUUUGCUUUUUAGGGCCACACCCUCGGCAUAUGGGCGUUUCCAGGCUAGGGGUCCAAUCAGAGCUGCAGGUGUCGACCUACGCUGCAGCUCAUGGCAAUGCCAGAUUCUUAAACCCACUGAGCGAGGCCAGCAUAUGGAGGUUCCCAGGCUAGGGGGUCCAAUUGGAGCUCUAGCCACCAGCCUAUGCCACAGCCAUAGCAAUGCAGGAUCUGAGCUGCAUCUGCAACCUACACCAUAGCUCAUGGCAAUGCCAGAUCCUUAACGCACAGACUGAGGCCAGGGAUCAAACCUACGUCCUCAUGGAUACUAGUCAGAUUCGUUUCCACUGAGCCAUGAUGGGAACUCCAAGAAUGUUUAUAUACCUAUAACUGAAUCACUUUGCUGUACAGCAGAAAUUGGCACAACAUUGUAAAUGAACUAUACCUUAAUGUUUUAAAAAAGAAAAGUAAUAAUAAACCAAUUAAGAAAUACCAUGAAGUUAUUUAUAUUUUUAGCACCUUUCAACAUUUAAGAACUCCGCUACUUUUUAUUUCUCCUAAAAUAAAAAAUUUCAGGCUUCAAAAGAUGUUCCUAGUUCUACAGAGAUUCAUUUUAUUGGUUAGGAAUAUAUAUAAUUCUUACAUUAAUUCCAAUGGGCAUCCUUGACCAAGAAGAAUGGAAGUAAAACUUCUUUCACUUUGUAUUGCUAUUAACUUAGAAAACACUGUCACGGAUGAGCACCUACUGGAUCUAAACUCCUCGUCACAGACUUCAGAGUCUCCAUUCUCAACCGUCUACUUUUUAUCUGCAACUAAGAAUAUAGAAAUUUGAGGAGUUCCUGUUGUGGCUCAGCAGGAUUUAAGGAUCUGACAUUGCGUCCGUGAGGAUGCAGCUUCGAUCCCUGGCCUCACUCAGUGGGUUAAGGAUCCCACGUGCUCAAAGCUGCAGUGUGGGUCACAGAUGCGGCUGGAAUCUGGUGUGGCUGUGGAUGUGGCAUAAGCCUGCAGCUGCAGCUGUGAUUUGACCCCUAGCCCAGGAACGUCCAUAAGCAACAUGUAUAGCUGUAAAGAGAAAAAAAAAACAAAGGAAAGAAAAUACAAAUUUGAAAUAUGUACAUUCUAUGUGUUUGCUUAUGGGGAAAAUGCAGGAUUUAUUGAUUUAGUUUCAAAUCUCUCAUUUCCAAAAUGGAUUCAUCUGAACUCUUACAUUCUACCUUGCCCGUGAAAUGUUUGUGUUUAUUUAAAUGCAAGAAUCUCAACCCACUUCAGUGUUUCCUAACCUUCCCCCCAGCACACUGUCCUGCUUUUCCUACGUACCCUUCACAGCACUGCCCACUCAAAAGCCGCCUUUUGUUUCCAAGGGGAAAAUGCUUGCUUAACAGCCAAGAAUAACAAAUAAAUGCCUCACGCAAAGGACAAUUUUCCUUUACCUCCCAAUGGCUCCACUGCUUCCCCAGAGAUGCCAGAGAGGUUUCCUGGGGAAAGAAAAGGCCAGCAUGAAGUAUUACAACCUACCAUCCCAACACUCAAGGAACCAAGUAAAACAUGACUAACUGCAGUAAAAGGACAGAAAAAUGAAAAGACCACCCUCAAAAAAUACACUAGUGUGCAGUUCUUUUUUUUUAACCAUAUAAAAGGAAGCUCCGGCACGGAAAAUGAUGAACAUCCUGCAUUUGUUCAUUAAAAAAGCAUUAUAUUCAGUUCAGUAAUACUCACUUGUUUAAAAGUAAUGAGUCACAAUAUUCAGUUCCUUCCUGGCCUGACUCAGCCAGGUGUGGGCAACAAGGACUAUACUGGACCUUCUGUGUCCCAGACCCUGCAAGGCCACUCGGACCCUGGAGGAAUCUGGGCAAGAAAACAAGCCUGGCUGGACAUCAGUAGGUUGGAGGAUUGCCCCCUCUCCAAUGUGCUUCAGUUCUGUUCUCAUAAGUAGUUUAUCUAAUUAUUUAGUCCAUUAAAUAAAUACAAGGUUAAUACUUUGCUUCUUAAAACAAAUCCCCCCAAAGGCCAUUUUCCCCCACUAUUCCAACGUGGAUCCACCAGAUCUAAUACACUCUGAAUUUUCUAGAAGUUAGCAUUUUUUUUCUUUUCAAUAUAUACAUGUAUGUUGUUCAGAUUUAAAGUCUGUAGCAUGAAACUCAAAACUGAAAAUUACCACGUUCUGCCUGAUUUACUUCUGUAUAGAAGUUAGCAUUUUGUAAUCAAAAUUAUCAUACUUCUAUUAUAUUUAAAGAGCUCCAGAGACAUGCACAAUAUCUUUCUGAUCAUUCUCCUUUUUUUUUCCUUAAAAAAAAAAAUUGGAGCUCCUGCUAUGGUGCAAUGGGACUGGUGGCAUCUCUGCGGCACCAGGUCGUAGGUUAAGGAUUAAAUGAUCUGGCGUUAUGUAGCCACAAGGUAGGUCACAACUGUGGCUCGGAUCUGAUCCCUGGACCAGAUCUGAUCCCUGGACCAGGAGCUCCAGUGUCACAGGGUGGCCAAAAAGGAAAAAAAAAUUUGUUGUUAGAGUGUAGGCGACUUAUAAUGUUGUAUUAGUUUCAGUGUAUGGCAAAGUGAUUCAGUUAUACUGUAUAUAUAUACAUUCUUUUUUCCCACAUAGGUGAUUAUAGAAUAUUGAGUAGGUCUCCCUGCGUUGCACAGUAGGUCUUUGUAAGUUAUCUAUUUUAUUAAUUAAUUUAUUUUUUGUCUUUUUGCCAUUUCUUGGGCCACUUCUGCAGCAUAUAGAGGUUCCGAGGCUAGGGGUCGAAUCGGAGCUGUAGCCAACAGCCUAUGCCAGAGCCACAGCAACACGGGAUCUGAGCCUCAUCUGCCAUCCACACGACAGCUCACGGCCAGAUCCUUAACCCAUUGAGCAAGGCCAGGGAUCGAACCCGCAACCUCAUGGUUCCCAGUUGGAUUCAUUAACCACUGAGCCAUGAUGGGAACUCAAAGUUAUCUAUUUUAUAUACAGUAGUCUGUGCAUGUUAUUCCCAUCCUCUUCAUUUAUCCCCCCUCCCCCAUGGUUUCCCCUAUGGUAAACCACAAGUUUGAUUUCAAAAUCUAUACAUUUAUUUCUGUUUUAAAGUUCUUCUCUAUCAUUUUUUAUUAGAUUCCACAUAGAAGCGAUCUGAUCAUUCUCCUUUCACUAGAGUUUUGUUGUUGUUGUCACUGCUAAGCCAUCAGACAAAAGAUGAUCCUUUGAAAACAGUCCUCCUUUUAAACAAAUGGCAAAUACACAAAUCGAAAUGACUGCUUGCAGUUUAGGGCUGUGGAUCCUAAGAUGCGGGAUUUCUUAAAUUAUUUUACAUCGUUCUCCCCAACACACACACACACAUUAGCAAGCAAAUACCACAGUCAAAUGGUGACUUUCUGCCAACCUGGACGGUGGAGAAAACCAAGGGAGAGAUUCUUAAAUGGCGAAGAGUGGAGGCGGGGGCGGCGGUGUGCAAUUGAGCAUUGGAAUGUGCUUUAUUCUUAUACUUGAAUAAAACUAUGCCUGGUAUUCUGGAAAGUGACAAUACUGUACUUCAAACUGAGUAAAUAAUGAAACUUUCCUAGGAAAAACCAACCCCAAGAGAACUAGAAAACAUCCUACUUUGUAAAUAUUUGAGUAUGCACCUUGGCAAACGGGAACAGAUGAACGUUUAAAGGAUAUCUUUAAAGUUAUCUCUACAUCCCUGCUAGGCGAGACCUGUGUGAGAAAGACACUGAAGUAUAGAGGUGGCACUGCCACUAAAGAUGUAUAAAAAUUAUUGCGGAAAGGAGUCCUACAAGGGAUCCUAAGUAGUCGAACUGCUGUCAAAUGUGCCAUCUACAGUGUAGGAAACUCACGAGGUGGAAACUCUCAUCUCGGAUGGUUCCCUCCCAAACGGUCGGUCACGAUCCAGACUUACAAACUCCCCGGGGAAGCAGAAACAGCUGCAUUGGACGCGGUUCCUGCUGGAAAACUGACAUUUCUCUAGCAAGUGCCAAGGGCAGGCUCAGAAUUACAAUAUGUCAGAAUGAUCCAAAAGGAGAUGUUCUUUCUUUUCUCUGUCAUCCACAUGCUGCUCAGGAGAAACUGCAAAUGACACCCCUAAAGCCACAGCACCCAACAGCCCAAAGGAGCAAUGACAGCGUCCACCUCUUUGCUUGGCCCC